ACAACUUGGCAAUGUCACUUCGUAAAUCAAUUAUGAUGUGCGUGCAGAUGUCCCUUGAAUGUGAAUAUAAGUCUAAAUUUAAACAGUAUUAUAGAGUGAUCGUGUCUCUUUAGGGCUCUUGGAGGAAAUCACGCAAUUCAUAUGGAUUACUUUGGCGAUGUUUUUUUGCGAUGAACUUUUUGAAACGUGAACAUCUUUGAUGAAUCUUUUCAUCGGAGGGACAUAAUUACAUCUCUCAGAUUUCAUUAAAAUAUCUCCGCUUUUCUUUCGAAGAUGAACGUCUUAGAUGGUUUGGAGCAUCUUAAGGCUUCUGCGAGCGUGUAUGGUGUCUGCCUUCAGAACCUCACUGUGACUUCAGAUAAGAACAAAGAUUAAAUUGUAAGAAGGGUUGCUUAUAAGAGCAUACAGUACAUCUGAAACUGCUGAGACUGGUAAGGUUUUUGACUAUAUUUCCGACCAGGUACAUUGUUCUGUCAUUCUUAAAUAGAAAACAAAUCAUCAAUCAUCAUUUGCCUUUUUUGUGAAUCAGGCCUAAUAGAGGGGGAUUCGGUCAAUCUUGGAAGAAAAACGUUAGCAAUGUGUCCAUUCCAGGAGGCUAAUUUGUGCUUCUUUUCAGUCAUUCAUGUAAAAAUCUGUUAUCUAAUUUUGUUUCUGUUUCGUUUUUUUUCUAAAGCUGCAAGACACUACUGACUAGGCUGUGCCCAGGGGUCCGUUCUUCAUACGUCGCUAACUCAGUUAGCUGGAUUUGAUUGUUGCCGAUUUCGCUUGAUCUUGGAUCAUUUGGUUCUUCGAAGCUCAUCCCGGAGUUGUUGUAAUAGCAACAGGUCCGUAAGCUUAAACCUGCUCAGGAGCAGGCUUAUUUCAUGUAAACAGGAUUAGAUCGCAUCUUUUAAAGCAGAAUUUAUACUUAUAAUAGGCCCCAGCCACCGCUACUUUAUUAUAAGAGAUAACUUGAUCUCUAAGAAACUUUAAUUAAUGCUGUCACAACAAAUCUGUUUCAAAGAUAAAAUUAAAUGAACUGCUAAUUACAACAUUGAAGUAAAAAUGUAAAGCCUGUACAAAUACUAGAAAUCACAAAUAUAAAUAAUUGGGAAUCAAGUAAAAAAAAUAAUAAAUAAAUAAACUAAAAAAUUUUAAAAUACAUUUAUGUAGUUUUGUUCGCCUGGCUGUUUCCUUAUAAAGGUCCAGAAAUUUGUCAAGUUUUUCGUCAGGUGUCUUUAAUGAUAUGAUGUAUCAUUGCAUUGCUGAUCGUGGUUUCGAGGAUCGAUACAUCUGCCCUUUUCAGGGAACACGAGAACGCGCAGUAAUCUUAGAUAACUUAAUCCAGAUAUUUUAAUCUAAUUCGCAAAUUCGUUUGAAGAACCAAAUUAGCCAGAGAUCAGUUAUCAGGAUUAGAAGAUCUGGAAUCUUUCAAAUCAUCUCAGAUGUAAUAAGCGACGUACGGAGAACGGGCCCCAGGUCUCCGGAACCUGCGACGACGCUCAGCUCCAUCGGCCCUUAGUCUGCGGCUUCAGAUCCACCAGCUCUGUCUCCAUCAGUCGGCCCCCAGAUGUCGGCAGCCACACCAUCUACAUCUUGGCUCCUCCCUCCCUCGACUCCGCCGUGUGUUGUCAGCUCUGGGAUGCUCUGGGAUGCUCAGGGUCUGUGCCAUGUGCCAAACACCAUCUAAGCCGCCAGGGCAUCAUCGUCAUCCUCUCAUCACCAUCCCUUCACCAUCUCCUUGUCCACCUCCAAAACCCCUCCAUCCCUCCCUAUUCUGUUGCUUGAACUUUAUCAUCUUCAGUCUUUGCACACACAUCUAUUCACUUUACAUGUUUUUUUUUUCUUCAGAAAAUUGCAUUGUAAUUUUUAUUUAUUCAUUGAUGUAAAAUUCUUUACUUUUCAGUAAUACAGGUAUAACUGAAAUGUUCUACAAAUGGAUAAGAUGUCUCUUCCAUAGCAUUUCAGGCUUUUUUUCAUUUAUGUUUUUUGUAUAAUGUUUUAAAAUGUACUUGAUUAUGUUUUUUAGUAAUACAAAAAUACUAUGAACAUACUUGUAUUUCAA